CCUCCUCCUCCACCAGAGUCCAGAAUGCAUCUCUCUCGCCCCCCUCUUCCCCCUUACCACCCCCCUUGAUCUACUCCCUCCUCCACCACAAUUCAUAGAUGCGACCCCCUCCCCCCAAGCUUCAUCGGGGAUGGUGGGUGAUGAUGGCCCUUGGUAUGACGGGUUAAUCGAAGAGUUCGACAGAGAGCACUGUGCUCGUGCCAUUGAGAAUCGGAAGCUAAGAAAUUUGACUUAUCAAUUAUUCGUGUUUUUAUGUGUGUUUAUCGUAUUAUUUGAUGGUGGAUGAUGAUGGCCCUUGGUAUGACAGGUUAUUUGACUUAUCAAUGAUAUGAAGCUCACAUUCUUUUCAGCAUGUAGUAGCUAUGCGCUUGAGGGGUCAUGGUGUGAAUGACUUUCCGUACGACGUGCGAUACGAGUCGUACAUUGCAAGAUUGGGUCUUCUCCCCUUUGUGUUGCAAUUCAAGCGAACCCCACCACCGGUGAACCAUGCAACGCUCACCGCACUUACGGAUCAUUGGAGGCCCGAGACACACUCUUUCCACCUUGCCUGUGGGGAGGACAUGGCCAUGAUAAGCGGCCUUCCUAUCAACGGCUUUGCUCUUACUGGUCAUGUUAGUGUCUUUAACUCGCGAGACCAGGUUGGCUUUUUUAAUUGGUGUUCAGCCCCUCCCCCUCUACCAGGCAAGGCUGAUAGCUCUAAAGUGAAGCAUUCCUGGCUAAAAGAAGCCAGAGGACAAAAUUCGUGCCCUGCGGAUGCCGAUGAGAUGGUUGUGCAGCAGUAUGCUCGGGCCUAUCUUUGGUAUGUACUAAAGAAAGUUGUCUUCACAUAGGCAACCGAGAAUUCAGCCAUCUGGAUGUAUUUGGAGCUACCUAUGGACUGGGAUACUCAGUAUAGCUGGGGUUCAGCAGCACUAGCAUACUUGUAUCGUCAAUAGGACCAGGCGUCAACGAGGACAAAAGACACAUCUUCAUUUUGCGGGUUUGUGUGGAGCCUCUGUGUGUGGACGUGGGAGCGGUUACCGGUUGGACGACCCAUGUUAAAGGACCCUGAUAACCCAAACCCCAAUCCGCAUGAAGGUCUUCAUGAUCAAGAUCCAUAUCGGCGCCCCACAAUUGCCUAUUGUUGGGAUCAGGUGUCUGUUUACACCGGAAGCUCUGAUGUGCGAUACAAGUGUUAUGUGAACGAGCUCGACACCUUAACUGCUGAGCAGGUUUUCUGGCGGCCUUAUGAGAUUGAUCGUGAUUUUGACCUCAACGAGAUGUGCACGUGUGAUAAUCUUCUUUGGUGGGCGAGGUGUCCAAUGAUAUGCUUUUAAGCUGUCAAGUAUCACUUUGUAGACCAUGUAGCCAGGCAAUAUGGGACACGACAAGGUAUUCCAAUUGAGGAGAACAAGGGGGUAAUCACAAAUCUGCAUCAAUGAGAAAAAAUAUCUAGGAGAUUUGUACUAUAGCAUUGUGAAAGUCUAUGUUUGCUAAUGGUUUAAAACGAGCAUCGUUUGGAGGUUCAGUCGAAGGAACAAUCAGGAUAUAUCGGAUUGGGCAAACAAACACUAUCACUGGAUAGCAAUGUGGAAUCAGAGAGAGACAUUAGUGGACUCAUAGAAUAGACCCCACAAUGAUUCAGCCUACCAGAAAUAUCUUGUGUGGUAUGGGCAGCGUUACCAGUUGAAGCUUAAGCCCGGUUGGACUCAGGAGGAGUGGUCCGAGUUGGUGUCGGAACACCCAUCAGCUGCAAAAGGUUAUCAUGCCUUGAACAUGGUUGUGUGAGAGACCGUAGGGAGUCGAGUUGACUAUGCACCCACGCAUGAC